rnacentral:rRNA from 1 species
UGGCCUUGACAUGUAGUGGCCCGGGUGCGAAAUCACCCUUUUCUUCGGAACUGCUACAC